CCGUUUGAGAGAAGGGAUGACACAGUAGGAUAAGCUAAGCACACUGUUGGUUAUGUGUGCCCAAGCAUUGAGGCAGUCGAAGUAGGUAAAUCCGCUUUGAUAAUGCUGAGGUGUGGUGGGGAGCGAACUUUAGUAGCGAAGUAGCUGAUUUCACACUGUCACGAAAAGUCUCUAUCGAGGUUAACGGUACCCGUACCGCAAACCGACACAGGUAGGUGAGGAGAGUAUCCUAAGGCCAGCGAGCGAACUGUUGUUAAGGAACUCGGCAAAAUGACCCCGUAACUUAGGGAUAAGGGGUGCCACCAUCAGGUUGCCGCAGAGAAUAGGCCCAAGCGACUGUUUACCAAAAACAUAGGUUUCUGCUAAGUCGCAAGACGAUGUAUAGGCGCUGCCGCCUGCCCGGUGCUGGAAGGUUAAGGGGAUCUGUUAGAGUAAUCGAAGCAGUGAACUUAAGCCCCAGUAAACGGCGGCCGUAACUAUAACGGUCCUACGGUAGCGAAAUUCCUUGUCGGGUAAGUUCCGACCCGCACGAAAGGCGUAACGAUUUUGGCACUAUCCCAACAACAGACUCGGUGAAAUUGUAAUUCCG
rnacentral:rRNA from 1 species